UCGGCCGCCUGCCCCUGUUCCUCCUCCAAGCUCGCCUCCCUUGCCAAUUUCUCCGCUCAUCGAGGAUGCAUAAUGCAUCGUCGCCCAUCCUCCUGUGUCGGGGUAGGCAUCGGGGAAGGCAUCGCCCCUGAUGUUCCUCCGCGCGACUGGAGAUGCAGACGCCGCGGCCGUUCUUCCGCGCGACCGGAGAUGCAGACGCCACCGUUGUUUGUCCGCAGAGCCAGGAACAACGCAAGUACCGACAGACCCGCCCUCCUCAACUGCCGCAUUUCAAAUUUGCAUCACCCUUUGCCCUCAUGCUCACCCUUGUUCAUGUGGAGCUAGCAAAUUUAAAUUGGGCAUGGAACAAUCGUGGCUCUUUUAAAUUACAAGUGGAUAUAGAAUGAGGUAUCUGUGAUAUUUCAGGUUUUUUGUUCUUUCAAUUGUUUUCCUCUUACCUCUAAUGAAUUUAUUUAUCAUAUAGCUCCUUUUGUUUCCUGACUGAACCACAUGUGGAGCAGUGUGCGCUUGCCCCGUUGCAUUACUAUUUAUAAUAGGAAGAUAUUGUACCUUCUGCAUUGUAACAAAUAAAUUCAUGCCAUGUGUGUUUGGCUCAGCUACCUUGGACUGUAUACGUGAUUUUUUUUGGAAAUGUGUUGUCUAAUACACAAAUGCUUAACCAUAGAUUGUUUCUGCGCCCAACACAAGUGACCUCUUCUCAAGUUCGUUUUCUUUUCACAAUUUUUGUUUAGUGAGUAACUACUCCAUAUUUGGUAACUUGAGUGUCCUCUUCUGACAACUGGAUAUUAGAUGUCUCAUUAUGCCUGCACUCCCGAUCAUUCUAGCAAUCAGGUAUGCCUAAUCUUUCUUUGAAAUGACUACAUGUUGUGUCCAUGGAGCCAUGUGUGACUCCCAUGUGCGAGGUAAUAAAAUGCAUCUCCGCAAGUAAUGGCUAACUAAUGAUACCCUUGAUCUUACAUGCUAUUUGACUACUAUAUGUGUCACGUGACUUGGUUUGAGCACUGCCUUGGUUCCUAAAAACAGUUUAGAUGUUCCUCGUAUGCUUAAAUUUGGCUAUAGUUGAAAUGAAAUCUCCUAGCUAUAAGAUAACAUAGUAUACAGAAUGUUCUACAGUAGAUUAGAUGGGGUGAUGAUCUACUUUUUUUCUUUCUUCGUGCAUUCAGUUUGGUUGCCUCUCGCCAAGUUUGAUUGGAGAGAAGAUGUGACCAUGAGUUGAUAACUCCACAUGUCCCAAAUCUAAUGAUGCUUUUUUCGUGUUGCUUCUGCAGGUUCUGAGAAUCUUAUUCAUGGAUCAGGAAAUUAUAAUUGUGAAUUUGUAGUUCUCAGGUAACUACGAAGUUUUGCGUGAUGUAGAUUAUUUAAGGAUUUUCAAGUUGCUCCCACUGAGAUUUUCUCCUAAUACACCAUAGCAAGCAUGGCUAAUGAAUCAUCCCAAGCUGAGUAGUAUAGGAGUAAUGUGAUGAAAAGCUAAUUAGUUAAGAGACCACUUGAAAAUGGAGAUGUGCAAUUUUCUAGUAAUUGGUCCUAUUGGUUACCUACUUGUCAUUAGCCUUGCUGAAUUCAUCUCCUCUUGUUGGUAUAAUA